GCGUCCAUCGUCUAAUGGAUAGGACGGAGGUCUUCUAAACCUCCGGUAUAGGUAAUCCUAUUGGACGUA
rnacentral:tRNA from 15 species